AGAGUUUGAUCCUGGCUCAGAAUGAACGCUGGCGGCGUGCUUAACACAUGCAAGUCGCACGAGAACUCUUCUGCUUGCAGAAGAUAGUAAAGUGGCGCACGGGUGAGUAACGCGUGGGUAAUCUACCUCCGAAUCGGGGAUAACCCGCCGAAAGGCGAGCUAAUACCGGAUAAUAUCCUUAAAACAUCCGUUUUUUGGAUCAAAGGUGGCCUCUACAUGUAAGCUACUGUUUGGAGAUGAGCCCGCGUACCAUUAGCUUGUUGGUAGGGUAAUGGCCUACCAAGGCUUCGAUGGUUAGCUGGUCUGAGAGGAUGAUCAGCCACACUGGAACUGACACACGGUCCAGACUCCUACGGGAGGCAGCAGUGAGGAAUUUUGCGCAAUGGGGGAAACCCUGACGCAGCAACGCCGCGUGAGUGAUGAAGGCCCUCGGGUCGUAAAGCUCUGUCGAGUGGGAAGAACUUGUUGGAUGCUAAUACCAUCCUUCACUGACGGUACCACUAAAGGAAGCACCGGCUAACUCCGUGCCAGCAGCCGCGGUAAUACGGAGGGUGCAAGCGUUAUUCGGAAUUAUUGGGCGUAAAGGGCGCGUAGGCGGUCUCUUAAGUCAGAUGUGAAAGCCCGGGGCUUAACCCCGGAAGUGCAUUUGAAACUAAGGGACUUGAGUAUGGGAGAGGGAAGUGGAAUUCCUGGUGUAGCGGUGAAAUGCGUAGAUAUCAGGAGGAACACCGGUGGCGAAGGCGACUUCCUGGACCAAUACUGACGCUGAGGCGCGAAGGCGUGGGGGGCAAACAGGAUUAGAUACCCUGGUAGUCCACGCCCUAAACGAUGAAUGUUAGUCGUCGGGUAGCUAGUCUAUUCGGUGAUGCAGCUAACGCAUUAAACAUUCCGCCUGGGGAGUACGGUCGCAAGAUUAAAACUCAAAGGAAUAGACGGGGACCCGCACAAGUGGUGGAGCAUGUGGUUUAAUUCGAAGAUACGCGAAGAACCUUACCUAGCCUUGACAUAUUUUAGAACACUUUAGAGAUAGAGUGGUGCCUUCGGGAGCUAAUAUACAGGUGCUGCACGGCUGUCGUCAGCUCGUGUCGUGAGAUGUUGGGUUAAGUCCCGCAACGAGCGCAACCCUCGUCACUAGUUACUAACGGUUCGGCCGAGGACUCUAGUGAGACUGCCUUCGUAAGGAGGAGGAAGGUGAGGACGACGUCAAGUCAUCAUGGCCCUUACGGCUAGGGCAACACACGUGCUACAAUGGCCAGGACAAUGAGACGCGAUACCGCGAGGUGGAGCAAAUCUAUAAACCUGGUCUCAGUUCGGAUUGUAGUCUGCAACUCGACUACAUGAAGCUGGAAUCACUAGUAAUCGUAGAUCAGCUAUGCUACGGUGAAUACGUUCCCGGGUCUUGUACUCACCGCCCGUCACACCAUGGGAGUUGAUUUCACCCGAAGCGGGGAAGCUAAACUGGCUACCCUCCACGGUGGAAUUAGCGACUGGGGUGAAGUCGUAACAAGGUA
rnacentral:rRNA from 1 species